AUUGAACGCUGGCGGCAGGCCUAACACAUGCAAGUCGAGCGGAUGAAGGGAGCUUGCUCCUGGAUUCAGCGGCGGACGGGUGAGUAAUGCCUAGGAAUCUGCCUGGUAGUGGGGGAUAACGUCCGGAAACGGGCGCUAAUACCGCAUACGUCCUGAGGGAGAAAGUGGGGGAUCUUCGGACCUCACGCUAUCAGAUGAGCCUAGGUCGGAUUAGCUAGUUGGUGGGGUAAAGGCCUACCAAGGCGACGAUCCGUAACUGGUCUGAGAGGAUGAUCAGUCACACUGGAACUGAGACACGGUCCAGACUCCUACGGGAGGCAGCAGUGGGGAAUAUUGGACAAAGGGCGAAAGCCUGAUCCAGCCAUGCCGCGGGUGUGAAGAAGGUCUUCGGAUUGUAAAGCACUUUAAGUUGGGAGGAAGGGCAGUAAGUUAAUAUCUUGCUGUUUUGACGUUACCAACAGAAUAAGCACCGGCUAACUUCGUG
rnacentral:rRNA from 1 species